rnacentral:rRNA from 1 species
GAUUUCCUACGGGGCGCAGCAGUGGGGAAUAUUGCGCAAUGGACGAAAGUCUGACGCAGCGACGCCGCGUGAGGGAUGAAGGUUUUCGGAUCGUAAACCUCUGUGGAGGGGGACGAUAAUGACGGUACCCCUUUAGGAAGCCACGGCUAACUACGUGCCAGCAGCCGCGGUAAUACGUAGGUGGCGAGCGUUGUCCGGAAUUACUGGGUGUAAAGGGAGUGUAGGCGGGAAAGCAAGUCAGAAGUGAAAACUAUGGGCUUAACCCAUAGCCUGCUUUUGAAACUGUUUUUCUUGAGUGAAGUAGA